GAAUGCUGACAUAAGUAACGAUAAAGCGGGUGAAAAGCCCGCUCGCCGGAAGACCAAGGGUUCCUGUCCAACGUUAAUCGGGGCAGGGUGAGUCGACCCCUAAGGCGAGGCCGAAAGGCGUAGUCGAUGGGAAACAGGUUAAUAUUCCUGUACUUGGUGUUACUGCGAAGGGGGGACGGAGAAGGCUAUGUUAGCCGGGCGACGGUUGUCCCGGUUUAAGCAUGUAGGCGGAGGUUCCAGGUAAAUCCGGUACCUUUUAACGCUGAGGUGUGAUGACGAGGCACUACGGUGCUGAAGUAACAAAUGCCCUGCUUCCAGGAAAAGCCUCUAAGCAUCAGGUAACAUUAAAUCGUACCCCAAACCGACACAGGUGGUCAGGUAGAGAAUACCAAGGCGCUUGAGAGAACUCGGGUGAAGGAACUAGGCAAAAUGGUGCCGUAACUUCGGGAGAAGGCACGCUGGUG
rnacentral:rRNA from 1 species